UCCCGGGUGGUGUAACGGCAGCACGGCGGGUUUUGGUCCCGUCCAGUAGGGGUUCGAAUCCUCUCCCGGGAG
rnacentral:tRNA from 6 species